rnacentral:rRNA from 1 species
CCUACGGGGGGCAGCAGUGAGGAAUAUUGGUCAAUGGGCGCGAGCCUGAACCAGCCAAGUAGCGUGAAGGAUGACUGCCCUACGGGUUGUAAACUUCUUUUAUAAAGGAAUAAAGUGAGGCACGUGUGCCUUUUUGUAUGUACUUUAUGAAUAAGGAUCGGCUAACUCCGUGCCAGCAGCCGCGGUAAUACGGAGGAUCCGAGCGUUAUCCGGAUUUAUUGGGUUUAAAGGGAGCGUAGAUGGGUUGUUAAGUCAGUUGUGAAAGUUUGCGGCUGAACCGUAAAAUUGCAAUUGAUACUGGCAGUCGUGAGUACAGUUGAGGUAGGCGGAAUUCGUGGUGUAGCAGUGAAAUGCUUAGAUAUCGAGAAGAACUCCGAUUGCGAAGGCAGGUUACUAAACUGCCACUGACAUUGAUGCUCGAAAGUGUGGGGAUCGAACGGGAGUAGAUACCCUUGUAGUC